AAAAUUGCAGUUGAUACUGGCGUCCUUGAGUGCGGUUGAGGUGUGCGGAAUUCGUGGUGUAGCGGUGAAAUGCUUAGAUAUCACGAAGAACUCCGAUUGCGAAGGCAGCACACUAAGCCGUAACUGACGUUCAUGCUCGAAAGUGUGGGUAUCAAACAGGAUUAGAUACCCUGGUAGUCCACACGGUAAACGAUGGAUACUCGCUGUUGGCGAUAUACGGUCAGCGGCUUAGCGAAAGCGUUAAGUAUCCCACCUGGGGAGUACGCCGGCAACGGUGAAACUCAAAGGAAUUGACGGGGGCCCGCACAAGCGGAGGAACAUGUGGUUUAAUUCGAUGAUACGCGAGGAACCUUACCCGGGCUUAAAUUGCAAAGGAAUGAUCUGGAAACAGGUCAGUCUUCGGACCUUUGUGAAGGUGCUGCAUGGUUGUCGUCAGCUCGUGCCGUGAGGUGUCGGCUUAAGUGCCAUAACGAGCGCAACCCUCGCCGCCAGUUACUAACAGUUAAAGCUGAGGACUCUGGCGGGACUGCCAUCGUAAGAUGUGAGGAAGGUGGGGAUGACGUCAAAUCAGCACGGCCCUUACGUCCGGGGUUACACACGUGUUACAAUGGGCGGUACAGAAGGCAGCUACCUGGCGACAGGAUGCCAAUCCCGAAAGCCGCUCUCAGUUCGGACUGGAGUCUGCAACCCGACUCCGUGAAGCUGGAUUCGCUAGUAAUCGCGCAUCAGCCACGGCGCGGUGAAUACGUUCCCGGGCCUUGUACACACCGCCCGUCAAGCCAUGAAAGCCGGNNNNNNNNNAAGUGCGUAACCGCAAGGAGCGCCCUAGGGUAAAACCGGUAAUUGGGAAUGAGUCGUAACAAGGUAACCA
rnacentral:rRNA from 1 species